UGCCGGAUGAGCGAGCUCGCGAUAGCCGCGGCCAUGUAUCGCUCGCGCGCGGACAACGAGGCGACGGUGCACACAGGAGCGGCUCCGGUCACGCGUGCAUGCGCGCGGAGAGUGCAUGGAGCUCCGGCGGAGCGCUCUGGAUCAUGACAGAGUCAGCCACGCGCGCACUCACGUGUUGAUUAAAGCCUUGCAGCGAGCUGUUAACCGACUAACGAGCGCGCUUUCUUCCGCACGGGUUUAAAGCGCGAGCCCGGUGACCGAGUGCGCGUGCUGCUCUCUCCCUCCCGCAUGCAUGUUGAUAACGGCUCACACAGUCAGCUAAACCUGGAGAACCGGAGGAGUGAGAGACAGGAGAAGACAGGGAGGGUGUGUGUGUGUGUGUGUGUGUGUGUGUGAGAGAGAGAGAGAGAGAGAGAGAGAGAGAAACAGGAGGAGAUGUGCAAAGCUCAGAGGAGAAACUGAACAGCCAGCAUCUUCAGCUGAAGAGCUGUCACUGGAGGCGAGCGCGGAUGGAAACAGCAGCCUCGCAGCCAAACACAACACGAUCAUCAUUCGAAUACGCCGUGAGAACACUGUUGCUAGGCAACAAGGAAACACGGACAUGUUCUCAUGGCAGUCACUGAAAGCACAAAGAAACACACACAAGUAGGCUGGUGGUAAUAAGACGCAGUGAGACUCAUCACGCGUCACCUGCCGGUUCGACCCGCCUCCUCUCCGUCCGACACUCGACCACGCCCCCUGCUGCAACAGAACAGUAGGUGCAGUAUUCUUUUUCUUUUCUUUCUUUCUUUUUUAAAGAAAGUUUGCCAGAAAGGUUCACACGGCAUCAGGUUGAGACUACAGGUGAGCGUCGGGACUGGAAUGCCACAAGACACUAUAAAAAAUUGUGCAAGUGGGAGAUUUUUAUGUUCAUACUUCACUGAGCUCACAGCACAAUCACAAUGUUCAUUCAGAAACAGGAGGCAUGCAAUUCUUUGUUGUUGUUUAUUGUCAGUGGUUUGCCAGAGUCCCUGGAGGACUAGUGGUUAGGUCUCGGCGCUCUCAAUAGUGCGGCCCGGGUUCAAUUCCUGGCCAGGGAACCAACAUGCACAUAACAGCACAUUUGGUCCCAAGUUCGGAUAAAAUUGGGGAGGACUUGUGUCAGGAAAGGCAUCUAGGGUAAAAACUGUGCAAAAUCACAGGUCAGCAAAUCUCUGCUGGGGUUAAUUCAUUCAAAAAAAUCUUAAUUUGUGCAUUGUGCGUGUUUUUUUGUCGUUCUUAAAUGAUCAUUCUCCAGCAUUAUUGAAAGAAAAUCUUCCAGGAAAUCACACAGGCAUUAUAAUGAAAUGUCUCAGCAGCACUGUAAGUGCAUCCCAGCUUCAUAGCAGAUUCUCAUACCGUGUCCUGUGAACUUUUCUGAACUUUCUGGAAACCCGAAAAAAAAAAAAAGUCUGAUAAAAAUAUUAACCAUAAACAUGAUUAUCCUGAUUUUUUUUUUUUUUUUUUUGAAAGAGCUCCUUAGUAUAUUCACAGUAAAUAGAAAGCUUGCCGGAAAGUUCCACAGGACAUCUUGUGGAGACCAAGUAUUAAUUCGAGUGAAGUAGCUGAGGAACAAGUUCAGGAGUUGAUUACUGGUGGCAGCUGCACAAGAAAUGACCUGGAACUAUAAGUUCUGUACAAAUCUCUUCAGUUCCAGAAUGCGCUACUUGAACAUCGUAUUGUUUAAAAGCUUCAGGUUGAUCUCAAGGUGAUAUAUUAUUUAAAUGGUUCUUUUUAAUUCUUUGGCCGUGUUAUGGGUUACUAUUAUUACUCUACUUUUAUGGUUAGGUCACGUCUGAUUUUUUUUAUGGCCUUGUGUAGUAAUUAAAUAAAUGUAUACCCCAUCACUGUUGAAUUCUCGAUUCUGGUUGAUCAGAAGGUGUUGAUUAAUUUUCUAAAACAGCAGCUCUGACAGUACUUCCGGCUGUAACUCCAUUAAUGCGCUCAUUCUCACUUUCUGUAAUACAAACUGACACAUGGACUUGUAUGGCACAUAAACAAAUAAAAAAAUGUGUGUAAUUGUUGAUAAGAGUUAAAUAUGUAUUUAGCAUUUUUGGAAGGAUCUACAGUAUCAGCGGUCAAGCUGUAACUAUGUUUUUUUCCGAUGUAGGAAAUUCUUCAAGAUGGAAACAUGAAGGCUGCAUUAUUUCUUUUACUUAAAUAGAAGAAAAAAAGCGAGGCUGGUGAGAGAACGACUUUUUUUAUAGUUAAGCGAUAACAGGAAGUAACUUGUCUCACGGAUGUUCCACAACAGAUGUCAUAGAUGUAGCUAUAAAUGUAUAAAAUGUACAAUGUGUUGAUAUUUAAAGUAUAAAACUUGUAAUAAUUGUCAAAUUGCUGUGAUAUAAGAGGAAUAAAACACUUCGGGUCACUUUGCACUGGGCCGCAUCACACCAUCACGUCAGUAAUUAUUCUCCUAUAACAGCUCUCACUUUGUGUUUUAUUCCUUACUGUAAAUCUGAAUCUUUUUGUCUGAGGUGUUUUUUCAUUGUAUCUUUUGAUUUGUACUCUUUUUUUUCAAUGCAGUCAAACAUUCUGACUUUUUAAUUAUUCUUUUCCUGGUUCAGCAUCGACAGGAAAAUAAAGUGAUGCAAUUAAUCUAGUCAGAUGUAGGCUAUUUAUCUUAUCUUUCUAUGUUGUGAACGAAGGCGUCCGAUCUGAUUGGUGAGCCGAGCCGAAUGAUCUCAGCUGGAAUUCCAUCACUUUGCAAAUGUUUAUUUAAUCACUUCCAGUAUAUGGCCUGAGUGAUUGUGCCAGACUCAGGCUUAGAUUUGAAACAGGAGCUGGACUAAUGGAAUUAGCACAGGAUGUAGCCAUAGUUAUUUUUGCCAUCUGGAUCAAACAAGCAAAAUGUGAGAAAGGUGAAGCAGCUUUUUGUUUUAAUGCCCUAAAGAUCCAGAAAACAUUACCAAUAAACGUUCGCCAGACUCCAUCUACUGUAUCACGGAGUUUAAAAAAAACAAACAGCUACAUAUGUAUAAAAACUGUUUUAGUUUGGCAUUUAACUUUUAUUUUAUUCUUUACUUUUAUUCUUUUAUUAUUUGCCUUCCCUGGCCCAUUAUAAUAUUUUAAUUUUUGUACUUUUAAUCCUUUUUCUUUUUGCAACAGCUAUUUUUAAAUUUUAUAUUGUUAGCAUUUUCCUUUUUUGUCACCACAUUUAUUCAUUGCAUUUAUAAUAUCUGCUUGUUUUUCUAUUUUAAUUUUGACAUUUUUUUUUGUUGUUUUUCUUUUUUCUUUUUUUUUUUACUUCAUACUGUAAAGUACUUUGAGCUGCAUUUUAACAGUGAUAUAUAUAUAUAUAUAGAUUAUUAUUAUUAUUAUUAUUAUUAUUAUUAUUAUUACUAUUAUUAUUAUUAUUAUUAUUGUGCAUAGCAACAGUGAAUGAUCUCAUGUUUAAAUGCAUGUUAAAUAUUUAAAUGAAUGAAUUUUUUCAUGCAUGGUUUGUUGUCCUUAACUGCUCAGAGGAAUGUGAGGAGCUGCUGCAGGCCUUAAGAAUCUCGGUGCUAAUGGAUCUUGCUCCUUUUAAGAGGAAAUGCAACCCUGGUCCAGACUGCAUCCAGGCAAAGGUACUUAAGGAGAGGACCACGGAAAUUUCUCCUGUCUUGCACUCAGUCUUUUUUUGAAAUCCAUCAACCUACUUCUUCACCAUAGAUACAGCCACCAGAAGGAACAAACUCAUCAAGCUUGCAGCUACUUCCUUUAAAAUUACACUUCUUCAAAAUUACAGAACCCUGGUGUGAAGAGUACUUAUAAGAAUCCUCACUAGUGCAGGAUCGGCUGCAGAUUCCCGCUUUAACUCUGUCAGUCAUCAGACCACAACAGCAACACAACUGUAAACAUCGUCUACGGCGGCCAGGGCUUGGCAUCUCUUCUGCAUGUGUUUGGGUGGCUUCGGGUGAGAUGAUCGACUGUUUGAAACUUAAAGCCAGAAUCAAUAACCACAGCAGCGUAACACACUGUCCACACAACUCAGGUUACGCACACAAACACAGUACAGAGGUUAAAGCAGGUUAAGCACAUCAUUUAGUGGUUAGCAAUUUGGUUUAAAGAUUAGGGUUUAGCAGUUCAAGGUUAAUAUUAGAUACUGAAGUAACAAUUUAGGGUUUAGUGUACGUGGUUCCACAGCUCAGAUGGGAAAAAAGAGCUGUUUAUAGGACAUCCAUAGCCUGGAUGUCAUUCCACAAAGCUGCCAGAGUUGCGAGCCAUAUGAAAUCCCGUGUGAAGUUUGCCAGUAGGCAUGUUGGAGGCACAAAAUGCAACAUUUGUCAGAAACCCAGCUCUGCUUCUCACCCUGAGAACACCAUCUCUGCAGUAAAGCAUGGUGGUGGUAGCAUCAUGAUGAGUGGCCUGUUGGUUGCUUCUCUGACUAAUAACUAAUUUUUUUUCUUUGUGUAGUCCCUGUAAGCCCUUAUUUCAAUACGGCAACUCUCAUUGGCUGACAGCUGUGACGUAUGCGUAUGGAAGGUGCCAAUCUCCUCCUGUAUUUAAUGGCCGAAGCGCUGUGCAGUUGUAGUCGUUUAGGAUGUUAUCUACCUGAUGUUACAUACACAAAGCAUGCACAAAGUCACCGAUUUAUUUAUAAAUUUAUGUACAAAUGGCUGAAGAAAGGCAAAAACUCCAAUGACUGUAUAUAAUGAAAAAUGAAAAAUGUUAUAUAUUUUCCUUUAUACUUUAACACACUCUGAUGAUGUGACAGAAACUUUUUAGACGUGGUUGAGCAUACCCAUAGACGUAAAGUGUCCAAAUCACGUUUUGAAUGUUAAUGAUAUACACCACUAACCUGUUUAUAAAAAUAAAUAAUGACAUGUGACACAUGGGAAUAAAAAGUAAGGCUUUACACCAGGUGUGGCUGUCACUGGGAUAGAGCAGCUCGGCUUACGUUCUUUUUUUCCUUCUGACAGGCUCAUAGGGAACAUACUAGGAAGGUGACAAACCCCCUUUUUUUUUUAGUCCGUCAUCAUUCCGGUCUUCAUAACCUUUCAAAACACAGUGAUGAGUGUACAGUUUAUCACUUUUGUUUGGCUAAGAACACAUCACUGGUACAUUUGUUUAGUUAGUCACAUUAGGACUGGGACCCAAAAAGAUUUGCGGGAGUGAGCACUUUUUACUCUCACUUGGUUUGUUAUGGUGUCUAUUUUCCGUUAACACACACCUAACGUGUCUACACUUGAUUUUGGUUUUGUGAGAAGGUAGAAAACACCACAUACAUCUCCAGGAUAUUGGAUGUGCCUUCCCAAAGGAUGUCUUUUAACUAUAUGUAGAGCUUCAAAUUCGUAACACAUCUACAAGCAUUAGCAGUGGAACACCCACAGCCUCAUACACACAUUCUGCAUGAUUUUAAUCUCGAUAUUCACGUGUAUUCAAAUGGCGUGUGGGGCUGUACAUAACUCUAUCCGCAGUCUACGCUAUCAAGGACGUUCUGUCACUGUUGACAGCAGAAAUUCAGUUGCUUAGAUCGUGAAAUAAAUGAAAAACCUAAAAAAAUAAAUAAAUCCUGCUGUCAUUUGGAGCGCCACUUGCAUGCGUGUGUGUGUGUGUGUGUGUGUGUGUGUGUGUGUGUGUGUAGGCGACAUGUCUACAUGGUGCAACAUCAGUGUAAACAGUGGGGGGCAGUAUAGCACCAUGUGACACUGUGUCCUUAACUAACUAAACAAACUUAAAUUGCGUAGUUACACUUAAAACCUAAAUGUCUUAAAUCGCAUAGUACUAUCCUAAUAACACUAACCGUUAUUAUUUUUUAUUAUGGUUAGUGUUUUCAUUUUAAAAAAGUUUUGCGUACCAGUCUUUGGAUUUUCUAGAUUAGUAAAUACUUCUGAAUGCUUUUGAUUUUUUGAGAUGCAUCUCAUGGCAACAAUCACGACGACAGCACAAAGUUUUUCUUAAAAAAAGACAGAGUUUAUCAGUGUGUUUAACAUGAUUGAGGGUGAAAUCCAGAAACGUUACAGUUUGACUUGGAUUGGGAUGUUUAAGAUCUGACAUGCCUUUGUUGUUAAUCCUGUAGAUGUAUAUAAAGUGUACACAGGUGUAUACAGGUGUGAGCAUGUGAACAAUGCCGCUCACGUCGCCGCUGCUUCUGGACUCACACGCAAAGUCAUGCUUCAGGUUUAAACCAGCAUUUACCCGAGCACAGGGUCAAACCUGGGAUCCUGAAGCUGUCAGGUGGUAAUGCUACACCACUGCACCACCAGCAGUUAUUUAUCCAGCUAUUAACACCGAAGUAAUAGCGUAAUAAGCUGAUUUAGUGUGUUAAGAUAAUCUCCUAAUGUAUACACAAUAUAUCAAACACACUUUCUGAUUAGCUCCAGUUAUCUUUCACUGGUUAUCAAAGUUGCAGGGUUUGGAAGAUUACCACUACGCCACACUGCACCAAACGCUCCUCUGAAUUACCGAUGAAAAUAAAUCUUCUACACAGCCGCCUCGGGAAGCGCACAAGUGCCCCAGGGAUCAUAACUUCUGAUUUCUCCCGAGACACGUCUCAUGAGACUUGGUUUGUAAAGCUCAUGGAUCCCUUUUUAAAUCUGCAUCUCUUACAAACCAAACACUGCUUACGGUACAACAACGCGGAGUGUGUCGAACAAACACAGCACGUCCAGCAUGGGGACACCGAGUCUCAGUAUUAGUGUAGCCUUAGGUUAGUGUGUGUGUGUGUGUGUGUGUGUGUGCAUCUGCAUUGCAUACACACUCUCAUACACCUGCACAGGGCACACUCCAUGUUACAGGGUCUUGAAGGCCGUGUGUGUUUGUCUAUACACACACACACAUACAUACACACACAUAUACAAACACACAUGUAAUGCAAAUGCAAAUAGCUCCAGGUGCAAUGAGAAAUGGUUGACACAGCACUCACACUCUCACACACACACACACACACACUCAGGACACUGGGGUGCAGUACAGUGAGUGUGUGCUACACGUCCUGCAUGCUAAAUACCAACACACACACACACAUAUACACACAUAUAUACACACACACACACCUUAAGCUGUGUAUAUAAAAAUGAAUGCUCAUAAAUACACAGGUCCAGACACAACACAUAGAGACACAACACAAAAUACACAC